AUUGAACGCUGGCGGCAGGCCUAACACAUGCAAGUCGAGCGGAUGAAGGGAGCUUGCUCCUGGAUUCAGCGGCGGACGGGUGGGUAAUGCCUAGGAAUCUGCCUGGUAGUGGGGGAUAACGUCCGGAAACGGGCGCUAAUACCGCAUACGUCCUGAGGGAGAAAGUGGGGGAUCUUCGGACCUCACGCUAUCAGAUGAGCCUAGGUCGGAUUAGCUAGUUGGUGGGGUAAAGGCCUACCAAGGAGACGAUCCGUAACUGGUCUGAGAGGAUGAUCAGUCACACUGGAACUGAGACACGGUCCAGACUCCUACGGGAGGCAGCAGUGGGGAAUAUUGGACAAUGGGCGAAAGCCUGAUCCAGCCAUGCCGCGUGUGUGAAGAAGGUCUUCGGAUUGUAAAGCACUUUAAGUUGGGAGGAAGGGCAGUAAGUUAAUACCUUGCUGUUUUGACGUUACCAACAGAAUAAGCACCGGCUAACUUCGUG
rnacentral:rRNA from 1 species